rnacentral:lncRNA from 1 species
UAUUUAUAGAUGCUUAUCUCAAGACCUUCUGUGUGGGUAGUCUCAGAGCCCUUGGGACUGCCUUCGUCCACAACCUUGGGUUUGAGUCAUAUCACUACCGAAUUCUUCCCUCUGUUCAUGGAAAUCUGGUAACUACAUCAACGAGGAUAUUCACCUAGAAGUUUGUGAACACUGUUCCUCUUUCAGUAAAAUCCAUGUUAUAGAUGC